rnacentral:misc_RNA from 1 species
GAAAUGCGAUAAGUAAUGUGAAUUGCAGAAUUCAGUGAAUCAUCGAAUCUUUGAACGCACCUUGCGCUCCUUGGUAUUCCUUGGAGCAUGCCUGUUUGAGUAUCAUGAAAUCUUCAAAGUAAAUCUUUUGUUAACUCAAUUGGUUUCUACUUUGGUAUUGGAGGUCUUUGCAGCUUCACACCUGCUCCUCUUUGUUCAUUAGCUGGAUCUCAGUGUUAUGCUUGGUUCCACUCGGCGUGAUAAGUUAUCUAUCGCUGAGGACACUGUAAAAGGUGGCCAAGGUAAAUGCAGAAGAAACGCUUCUAAUAGUCCAUUGACUUGGAAAAUACUUUUAUGAUCUGAUCUCAAAUCAGGUAGGACUACCCGCUGAACUUAAGC